CCUUCUGUAACCCCCUCUCUCCCUUCUUGCUUCUCAUCCUUUUCCUCCUCCUUUCCAACGUUUUGUCCACCCUUCCCAAGAGAAGUUUAACCAUUUCGAAAACAAUGUAAAACGUUUUGUAACCUCGCUGAAGAGAGAGAGAAAGCGAAAGAGAGAGAGAGAGAGAGAGAGAGAGAGAGAGAGAAGACGUGCGAAAGAGAUAGAUAGAAAAAAAGAGAAAUAGAGAGAGAAGGAGGGGGGAGAGAGAAAAUGAUGAAUGACUUUCCUCUCUUCUUUGCUACGUUGAGUCAGAAAGAAAAUCGAAAAUACUCGUAAAUAAAGCGUGAACAUUUUUUAGUCUGACGAUAAGCACGGAUGAUAAGUACAAAGUUUCUAUAAAUAUUUGCAAUAUAUAGAGUCGAUAUCGGUUUGCUUCUAGAAAAGGAAGACGAAUGGAUAUAUAUAUAUAUAUAUAUAUAUAUAUAUAUAUGUAUGUAUAUAUAUAUAUAUAUAUAUGUACAUAUAUGUAUAUAUUUUUGUAUGUAUUUAUUUGAUUUUAACUCGAUUAAAAUCGAGAGGAACAAAAUAUUUAGAUAUACGAUAGGUAUAUAAUGCAGGACAAUAGAAGGCGAGCAAAUUAAAAUUAAAAUAAGCAGUCUUACAUUAAGCACGUAAAGAGAUAGAGAGAGAGAGAGAGAGAGAGAGAAAGGGAGAAGGAUAGAAUCAACUAACGUUAGAUAACUCGUAUGAUACCAUCUAUUCGUAAUUUACACGUCAUCCUUUGAUGCAAGGAACACGAUUUAAAAAAAGGGAAAAAUUAUUUGACUUGCCGUCAUUGUCAUCGUCAUCGUCAUCGUUCCGUCAUCGUAAUCAUAGUCGUGGUCGUAAUCGCGUCGUACAAUGUACAAGUAGUCGGUAUUUAUCGACAAAGAAAAGACGACAAAAGAGAGAAGGAGGAGGAGGAGGAGGACAUAGAAGACGACAACUACCACUCUUAAGCUUGCACGCGCAAUCUAAUAUCGGCUUCGCACCGACUUCAUAUUAAUAGACGCUAAUAAUACGGAUCUCCGGCGUCGCUUGCAAACCGACGAUUUCGCGCUGUUCAAAUUCGUGCAAAAUUUCUCGCUCGCUCGCCAAAGGAUUUCAUGCGAAACCACUUCGACGAUCGUACUUGUUCCUUCUUUCUUUAUUUUUGGAAUAUUGUUUCAUUUAUUGCACGAUGAACCUUUGAAGGACGAUGAUGAUUUAUCACGAGGUAAUAAAUUCGAUUGAGACAAUACGUGAGAAUUAAUAAACAUCAUCUUCAUCACAAGUUUUUCCUACUUCUUCUCUUUAUUCUUCUCUCUCUCUCUCUCUCUCUCUCUCUCUAUUUAUCUAUCUCUAUUUCUUUCUCUAUUUAUUAACUUCAAAGAAUCAAAAGUGAAUAAUAAUAUUUUUUCUUUUUACGUCGUAAAAAUUUAUAAUUGUUUCAACUCGCAACAACAUGUUGUUAAAAUAACGUAACCCAAAAUCCAACUAAUAAACAGAGACAGAUGACACUCCGUUACGGAUCGUAAUUUCUUAAUUUCACUAAUUCAUAUUUCGUGUCGUCCUUUUUAACUCGAAUAGAUAAAUCUAUUAGGCACGAUCGUACUAAAGAUAACGCGAGACCGUCAUUUCUACGAUGAAUGUCUUUCUUUCUUUCUCUCUCUUUCUCUCUCUUUCUCUCUCUUUCCCGUUCGUUUUCGUACCUUUAAUUAUUCCAACAUAUUUACAAUUCUCUAUCCAUCUAUUUAUCUAUAUCUCUCUUUCUCAUUCUCACGUGCACUCUCUCGUACUCACUCGUCUGUUUUAUUCUAUCUCGUUUCUUUUUUUUUUUUUUUUUUUUUUUUUUUUUUUUUUUUUUUUUUUUUUAUUAAUCCUUUUUUUUCCCCUUCUUUUCUUUUUUAAUUUCCAUCGAAACGAAACACGAUUCUACAACGGCAGACACCAAAACGCUCGCGUUAGAACGUCGCCAUCUCAAAGACCAUUAAAUUUGCGACGAAUUAAGAACAACCGACGAGCUACAGGCGAAUACGUCUCGACUAUGAAUUGACCUCGCUCCAACAAUAUACAAAAUUAUAAAUACCUUCGACGCUCAUAUAAGCGCUUGCUGCCUUGAGCACACAAGUAUCUCUUUCUCUCUCUCUCUCUCUCUCUCUCUCUCUCUCUCUCUCUCUCUUUUUCUUUCUACCAAUGUUACUACAAACAACGGUAUUCUUCGGCGAUAUAUGGCGUCGCAACUUGUUAUCGUUUUCAUCGAGCCGGACACGUUAUAUCGAAAAAUAAGAGGUAACAGUUCACGCGCGUGUAAAAAAUAUCUAAAUAUAUAACGUAGAUAAGUACUUAUAUGGAAAGAAAAUAAAUGAUUAAAAAUGGAGAAAUUUUUUUGAAAAUUCGUCGAAAGAUCGACUUUACGUACUAUUAUCUUAUUAUAAUUACAAAUUUUAAUAAUUACGAAUUCUAUAUUAUAAUAAAUCAUAUAAGAUAUAAUCAGAUCGAUAAUAUUAAUCAAUGUGAUGUUAUAUGAUAUUCUACGCGCAUACGUGAAAUCGCAAAAAAAAUUGUAUAUAUCUAAAUAAUAAUAAUUUUAUGUGUCAUUUAUGAUAAAGAAGCGUUUAAAGGAAUGUGAGAAUAAUCAUCGAUAAAACGUUUUGAAGACGUUAAGAGAAAAAAAGACACAAGAAAAAAAAAAGAAAAAAAGGAAAAUAAAGGAUACAAUAAUUUAUAACAUCGAAUCUCUUACUCGAACGUUUAUAGCAAGAAAUCAUUUCUCUUUUUUCUUUUACUUUUUGUCAUAUUUAAUACCAUAGACAUGAUUUUUUAAUCGCAUAAAUAAUUCGUAAAAUUUUCCUUAAUCAAAGUUCAUCCUCGUACGAAAAAAAACUUGUUUAGCUUCCAAUAUUUAUUCCUAAUUUUUCCAAAUAUAAUAAUAACCUUAAUCACAUCCAAUAUUAUAUAUGAUAAAUUUCAUUUAUCAAUAUAUUGUAUAUGAGAUACUUUUGAUAACUAGUUUGCAGUCAUUCGUAAUGGGAUUUUUUUCUUUUUCAACAUGCAAAUGCAUAUGCACAUAAAUGUCGAUAAAAAUAUAUUGUCCGAGCUAAUUGACGAUAGGAUGGAGGAGGUGGGGGGGGGGGGCAAUUUGGAGAAAGAAAAGGAUUAUCGUUAAGUUGUUAAAAUUUAAUUUGGCGAGAGAAAAAAGAGGGAAAGAAAAAUCGAAGAAAGGUCUGUCGACUCUCUGUUGCACAAGUGUCAGUGAAAAAGAAAAGAAAAGAAAAAGAAAAAGAAAAAGAAAAGGAGAGAAAAGGAAAGAAAACAAGAAGAAGAAGAAGAAGAAGAAAAAAAAAGAGAAAGAAAGAGAGAGAAAGCGAACAACAUAGAUUCUGACUUACCGGUUUUUUGCCCUUUUGUCGCACUCGAGAGUGAAUAUUUUUGGUGAGCAACGUGCGAAUGCGGGAAAACGCGUGGGCGUAUGCGACCGUUCGUCUGCCAACCCCAAACUAUUAGCCUCUAUCUUUGUGUGACGCGUUCGCGCGUGCUUCCCACGAAGGCGCAUCGCACGCGUGCGGAUUCUACUCUACUUCUUCUUCUUUUCCUCUUCUCUCUUCCCUUCACGAUCUUCCGCUCGCAAUGAUCGCGUUAAAAAGAAGAAGAAGAAGAAGAAGAAGGAAAGGAAACGUUUGCUUUUCAAUGAAAAGAUAGAAAUGAUUCCUUUCGUAUUUGAAAAAUUGAUUAUUGAAAAUCAUCGAUUAUCCUUUUCUUUCUUAUAUUAAAAAAAAAAACAAAAAAAAACAAAAAAAAACAAAAAACAAAAAACGAAAAUAAACAAAAAAAAAAAAACUAAACGUAUUUUACGCAAUGAGACCAAUCAGAAUUUUAUAGAAUAUUUAUCUACUUUAUUAUUCAUUAUUAAAAUUAUUCACGUUUUAAUGACAAAGCCACCUAUUACGGAAUAAACGCGUAUAUAUUGAAAUAUCAUUUUUCGUACGUAUUUUUAACUUUUUUUUAAAAAGUUAAAAUUUUUAACUGUGUUUCACAGAAGCACGUCAUAGAUUAUAUAUAUAUAUAUAUAUAAUAAUGUGACAUUCACGAUAAUGAGACCUUCAAGUUAAUUUUUAAAAUAUUAUAUAAUAUAUAAUAUAUAUAUAUAAUAUAUAUAUAUAUAUAUAUAUAUUCCUAUAAUAUAUAUUAUAGGAAUAUAAAUAUAUGCUUAUAAUAUUGCACAAUUUGCAAUGUAUCGAACGAAUACAAUUUUCAAUCGUAAGUCAUAAACAAUAUAUGUAGGAUUGUCGAUACAUAAGAACAAUGAAAUAACUAUGAUUACAUAAUGUAUUAUUGUAAUAUAUGUCAUCGAUUAAUGUGUUAGGUUCAAUAUACAUAUUUGACUUUGUAUUACACGUGAAUAAUACGAUAAUACGAAAGAUAAAUAUAUUCAACGGUCAAUAAGAUGCAUGAAUGAUUUCAAAAUGCGGUACUUUUUAACAUCAAAAUUCACAAAUAUUCGUUUUCUCGUGUAGAAUAAAUUACAUUCGGUUCUUACAAAAUGACAUUGUAUUUUAAGUAUAACGUUAAUGUUUUUAAGUAUAACGUUACACGUAAGAUAUUUAAAAGCGUGAAAAAUGUUGUACCUAGUUCUUCCUUCUUCUUUUCUUUUUCUUUUUUUCUUUUUUCUCUUUUCUUGUUUCCUUUUCUUUUUUUUUUUUUUUUUUUUUUACUAACCAAAAGAAUUCGUUUGAAAUACGCGACAUAACAAUAAACGAAGAAGAAGCUAUUCUUUUGCACGUUAUAUUAUAGAAUGUAACAGCGGACUUGGAAGUCAGCGUGCGAACUAUGCGAACGGUGGAAUGCGUCUUCGUGUUGUACGUUGACUCUUUCAUACGCCCUAACUCCGCGUUUCUAGUAUGAUCCACGUGUCGUUCGUAUAAAUCGUUCGAAGUAAGAAA